AUACGGAGGAUCCGAGCGUUAUCCGGAUUUAUUGGGUUUAAAGGGAGCGUAGAUGGGUUGUUAAGUCAGUUAUGAAAGUUUGCGGCUCAACCGUAAAAUUGCAAUUGAUACUGGCAGCCUUGAGUACAGUUGAGGUAGGCGGAAUUCGUGGUGUAGCGGUGAAAUGCUUAGAUAUCACGAAGAACUCCGAUUGCGAAGGCUGCCUCCUUAACCGUCACAGACCUUGAUUCUCGUAAGUGUUGAUAUCAAACAGGAUUCGAUGCCCUGGUAGGCCUAACCGUAAGCGAUGAACACUCGAUGUGUGCGAUCUACAGCGAGCGGCCUAGCGAAAGCGUUAAGGAUUAAAGCUGGGCAGUACGGUGGCACCGCUGAAGCUCAAAUGAAUUGACGGGG
rnacentral:rRNA from 1 species